rnacentral:rRNA from 2 species
UACAGAGGGUGCAAGCGUUGUUCGGAAUUAUUGGGCGUAAAGGGCGCGUAGGCGGUGCGGUAAGUUCUCUGUGAAAUCUCCCGGCUCAACUGGGAGUCUGCAGGGAUGACUGCCGUGCUUGAGUAUGGGAGAGGUGAGUGGAAUUCCAGGUGUAGCGGUGAAAUGCGUAGAUAUCUGGAGGAACACCAGUGGCGAAAGCGGCUCACUGGACCAUUACUGACGCUGAGGCGCGAAAGCUAGGGGAGCAAACAGG